GACGAACGCUGGCGGCGUGCUUAACACAUGCAAGUCGAACGGAAAGGCCCUGCUCUUGUGGGGUUCUCGAGUGGCGAACGGGUGAGUAACACGUGAGUAACCUGCCCUUGACUUUGGGAUAACUUCAGGAAACUGGGGCUAAUACCGGAUAGGAGCUCCUGCUGCAUGGUGGGGGUUGGAAAGUUUCGGCGGUUGGGGAUGGACUCGCGGCUUAUCAGCUUGUUGGUGGGGUAGUGGCUUACCAAGGCUUUGACGGGUAGCCGGCCUGAGAGGGUGACCGGCGACAAUGGGACUGAGAUACGGACCAGACGCCUACGGGAGGCAGUAGUGGGGAAUAUUGCACAAUGGGGGGGAGCCUGAUGCAGCAACGCCGCGUGCGGGAUGACGGCCUUCGGGUUGUGAACCGCUUUCGCCUGUGACGAAGCGUGAGUGACGGUAAUGGGUAAGAAAGCACCGGCUAACUACGUG
rnacentral:rRNA from 1 species